AUUCUAACGAAGUUUUAAAGGGUGCAGAAACCAGUCAUGCGGUUGCUAGAGAAUAUUUCACACAGCAUGUUAAUUUAUUGCACACUUGUGUAUAUGUGCACGGUGUGUGCUGGGUUACAACAGAGACUUAGACACAGUCCUGAAACCCAUUUCCCACCCUACCCACUGGGCUUUAGAGCUUGGCAGUAUUGUCAUUUUGAAACAGACAGUUUAGGAGGGAAGGGGCUGCCUCGUGCUUUACAAGGUUUUAAGGAGCCAUGCCUGGCUUCUACUGACUCCUCCCAUGGCCUUGACAAUAACAAAUGUCCCCAGGUUUUACCAAAUGACUCCUGUAGUUUUCAGGAAUUUUAAGCAAAGAUGAGUGUUCUUAAGGAAUCAUUGGGGGCCAGGUAGGUGGUGUUGGAGAGGAAAAUAUGUGGUCCAUUCAACCAUAUUUUUGAUUUAACUGAACUACAGGAUUCAAAGAUGGCAGGGUAAAACAUACAUUUCAUAAGUGGUAGAUCACAAAAUAUGACCUUAAAAACCUGAAUUGCUUCUUGCCUGGCCACUACACAACUCUACAAAGAGCAGCAGGACGAAUUAGUGUAAUAAAGAAACUGAACUCACUUAAAAUACACACCACUCAUUUCAGCAGCAAACUACGGACGUCUAACUGAACGUUAGACGUUAGCAGUGUUAUUUUUAUAUGACAGUGAAACUUGCCUUUUUAACUGUGAAGAGUAAAGACAUCUAAGGUCAAUUCAUGACAAACACAAAAGCGAUUAUUCUAAACUAUAAAGGAUGAUGUCAUUUUGUAUCUAUCCUGACACAUAGCUGAACCCAACAUGUGAAAAUCUCAUUAAGAUUUCACUAAACGGAAGACAGGAUCCUCAGCUGAGCUCCCUCAUUUAUCUCCUUGUACACAAAGAACAAUUGCACACACAGUCUCCUAGGCCACCCCCUUCAUGUACCUUUCAGGAGGUACAUCAGCAUCAUCGUCCUCAGCAGAAAAGAGUAAACAUCCAGAGACGAAAGAUAAACAUGAGGGAAAGUUGGAAGUACAAUAUUUACGACUUUGAAUUUUAAAGUAUAAAGACAUAGUCAUCAUGUAAAUAUAUAGAUUGUAUUGUUUGUACUUGGUUUUGGCAAACGAAGCUGAAACAUAAAUGUAUAUAUU
rnacentral:lncRNA from 1 species